rnacentral:rRNA from 1 species
GAUGAACGCUGGCGGCGUGCCUAAUACAUGCAAGUCGAGCGAACAGACGAGUUUCUUGCUCCUCUGACGUUAGCGGCGGACGGGUGAGUAACACGUGGCUAACCUACCUAUAAGACUUGGAUAACUUCGGGAAACCGUAGCUCAUACCGGAUAAUCUAUUUAACCGCAUGGUUCAAUAGUGUAAGACGGGUUUGCUGUCACUUCUCGAUUGAUCCGCUCGUCAUUAGCUAGUUGGUAAGGUAACAGCUUACCAAGGCAACGAUGCGUAGCCGACCUGUGAGGGGGAAAGGGAACAGUGGAACUGAGAGACGGUCUAGACUCUGACGGGAGGCAGAGGUAGGGAAUCGUCGGAAAAGGGCGAAAGACUGAAGGAGGAACGGAGGGUGAGUGAUGAAGGGCUGCGGAUCGUAAAACGCUGUUAGGAGGGAAGAACAAAUGUGUAAGUAACGAUGCACGUCUUGACGGUAGCGAAUCAGAAAGCCACGGCUAACUACGUG